UAGUGUGGUUUGACCCAUGUGCAUUAUAGUCCAGUUGAGUGACCCUAGCCCAAUUUAAGAUUAUAACACAAAUGAUGACCUCCUAAUGAUAAAU